CAGCAGCCACGGUAAGACAGAGGAUGCAAGCGUUAUCCGGAAUUAUUGGGCGUAAAGGGCUCGCAGGCGGUUUCUUAAGUCUGACGUGAAAGCCCCCGGCUCAACCGGGGAGGGUCAUUGGAAACUGGGAAACUUGAGUGCAGAAGAGGAGAGUGGAAUUCCACGUGUAGCGGUGAAAUGCGUAGAGAUGUGGAGGAACACCAGUGGCGAAGGCGACUCUCUGGUCUGUAACUGACGCUGAGGAGCGAAAGCGUGGGGAGCGAACAGGAUUAGAUACCCCUGUAGUCCCUGUCUCUUAUAC
rnacentral:rRNA from 1 species